GGUGGAGCAGCCCGGUAGCUCGUUGGGCUCAUAACCCAAAGGUCGCAAGUUCAAAUCUUGCCCCCGCCA
rnacentral:tRNA from 1 species